UGGUCAGUCAGAUGUGACCUGCUCUUUUAAGAGGAUCUCUUCCUUUUCCUCCCUCCACCCCUCUCUCCCUCUCGGGGACAAGCGCACGCACUCCCCCACACAGCUCAAGAAGCUUGGAGCCUUUUCACAACGCAUACUCCAGGGUCCUGUUGUGACAGCCUCUUGCCACAUUAACUUGCCUGUCCGACUCCCGGCAGAGAAGGAGCAGGAGCCUUUGCUAAUGUCCCAGAAGGAAAGAAGCAGGAAAUUCGAACAAAACAAAUCUACACGCAGAACCCAGCAUCUGCAAGCCAGGGACCCAAACCGAGACUAGAUGACUUCAGACUGUAGAUGAAGAAGCAGCUGCCUCUUUAGAGGAGAAAAAACAACAACAAAAAACUCUGUGUCCUGCAAUUAUGAUGCCAGAUAGCAAGAAAGCUGUAGCCUGAUAUUCAACACCUGUGGAAGGCAAGCCGCUGUUCCUGCCCCCUGAAGCUGAUCACUUCCUAUCCCAGAACACAUCCAGAAGCUGAUCUCACUGCCUCCUCUGCUACUGUACUCAUCCCAACCCUAUCAUUUGCCACCUGACUGUGACAGCCUCUUCUGCAGUCUCCUGUUUCACUCUUGAUACAGCAUCCAUGAUAUCAGGAUAAAACCAAGGCGCCUACCACUGCCCCGCUGAAAACCCUGCAAUGGAUCCACCUCACUACAAGGAAAAUAAAACUCCUACCAGGCCCUACGUGCCCUUUGUCCAUCACCGCUGUUGCCAUUUACUGUACUCUUGCUCCUUCUGGUCCUGCCUCAAGGGUGUGCUCUGCCCUUCCUCCUGUCUGGAAUGCUGUUUUCACAAACAUACACGGGCUCCUCCCUGCACGCCCUGCGUGUUUUGUUCAACUGGCUUCCACUUUCAUCCCAAACUACCCACAGCUUUCAUCCCAAAGCGAAUAAGAGACCAUGUAUUUUUUAACCAUUUUUGUGACUAUGGUACAGGAACACAGAUUUAGGUUGCCCCAAAUUCCAUGCUACCAUAAAAAUUAUAUCAUCAA